CCUACGGGAGGCAGCAGUGAGGAAUAUUGGUCAAUGGGCGCGAGCCUGAACCAGCCACGUAGCGUGAAGGAUGACUGCCCUACGGGUUGUAAACUUCUUUUAUAAAGGCAUAAAGUGAGGCACUAGCGCCUUUUUGUAUGUACUUUAUGUAUAAGGAUCGGCUAACUCCGUGCCAGCAGCCGCGGUAAUACGGAGGAUCCGAGCGUUAUCCGGAUUUAUUGGGUUUAAAGGGAGCGUAGAUGGGUUGUUAAGUCAGUUGUGAAAGUUUACGGCUCAACCGUAAGAUUGCAAUUGAUACUGGCAGCCUUGAGUACAGGUGAGGUAGGCGGAAUUCGGGGUGUAGCGGUGAAAUGCUUAGAUAUCACGAAGAACACCGAUUGCGAAGGCAGCUUACUAGACUGCCACUGACAUUGAUGCUCGAAAGUGUGGGUAUCAAACAGGAUUAGAUACCCCUGUAGUC
rnacentral:rRNA from 1 species